rnacentral:rRNA from 1 species
GAAAAAUGUAAAUUUGAAAAAAUAAAGUAGUACUAGUUAAGGUCUUGAAACUUAAAGGGUUUGGCGGUGUUUUAAUCUAUUCAGAGGAAUCUGUUCUGUAAAUGAUAGUACACGAGUGUGAAUACCUUUAUUUUUGUUUGUAUAUCGCUGUCAUUGAUUAUCUUGAUUGGAGGGAUUAAAAUUUUCAUGGUGUUUUUGAGUAAAAGAUGUCAAGUCAAGGUGCAAUUAUAAAAAGGAAGAAAUGGAUUACAAUAAGAUUACUUAUUAUGGAUUAUAAUGAUGGAUUGGUUAUAUGAAGGUGGAUUUGAAAGUAAAUUAACUUAAAUUAUUUAAUUGAAGUGAGCUCUAAGACAUGU